ensembl:lncRNA
AAUUGACAGCGUUUGAUUCUUUCCUGAAAACAAGUCAUAGGAAGACACAACAGUAAAAUCCCAGGGGUGUCCAAGGUUUAAUUCAGUCUCAGUUUGAGAAGUCUGCCUAAAAGCCCGUGCACCAGGAUGCUUGUGAUGACAUGAGCCCCCAUAAAAGUCUGUGAACGUUUCAGCUGAGGACAGUGCCUUGAAGGUAACUCUGCAGGACAGUGAGCAGCUGACGUCUGCAUGGCUCCGAUCACCACUCUGUCACGUCCACGGUUCCUUUAUGCCACGGUGACAGCAGUGCACAGCUCCCUUUUUUUUUUUUUUUUUUUUUGGUAACAAAUCAGACUUAAAAAAAAAUCCAACAUGUGGUUCUUGUUUCCAGCCCCC